CUAACUCCAUAGUCACCAAGGUUCACUUAACAAGCGCUAACUCCAUAGUCGCCAAGGUUUACUCAACAAGCGCUAACUCCAUAGUCGCCAAGGUUUACUCAACAAGCGCUAACUCCAUAGUCGCCAAGGUUCAUCAAAUAGGCACGAAGUCACAUCGUCGCCAAGGUUUAUACAAUAGGCGCUAACUCCAUAGUCACCAACUAUCCCAUCUACCCAUGUUCUACCCAACAUUUUCGUAGAUAUAAAUACUUACACAGUUUAAAUCAUUUAACACCUGUAUAAAACUCCAAUUUCCAUGCCCAUCUCAAAUAGACAAAUAACAUAUAAACACAUAGCACGUAUUUCAUAGCAAAUACUUCAU
rnacentral:lncRNA from 1 species